AGCGAUAUUGAGCCGCAUGGAAGUGAAUCAAGUAGGAAAAAAUUCAUAGAUGUUACUGAGUGGAUUGUGAGUAACUACCAUUCGGUUGGUCCAGGUUCCUUCAGUUUUAGCACAAUAUAAAUACACAUAACUCAAAUUGGAGCAGAAGCUGAAAUAGUUAAGUCUAACAUAUGACAAGGACGUAAACAUAAUAAUCCGGGCGUAAUCAUGACCAAAGUGUUAAAGUCAUCUUAGGAAAUUUACAUAUUUAUUGCACCUUUUUCUCAUCAUUAAAACCAUCCACUCGAUAUAAUUCACUAAUUUUAAUUGUUAUUCAGGCACAAUGAUAACUGAGACCAAUACACUUUUUUCAUAUCGAUUGUAAAAUUUUGCUUUUGACAGAUUUGUUGCCGACUUAUUACUUUUUGCUGAUAAUUAAUGUUAACAACUUAAGAAAUCAUAACAGUUCAGAUAAAAGUCGCCCUUUCUUCGGUGCUUAGCAUAUGAUAUGCUUACGAUAUGCCCCGUCCAACCCACUUCAAUUUAAUCGCGCUCUCUGAUUGACGUUCGAUGGCAUACUAAAUGUAAGAGAUUGUUAACAGCUAAUAUAAAACUCAGCACAUUCAACAAGUUUGAAAUUUGAUUCAAGCGGUAAGUCGGCUGUGACACGAACAACCCAUCUGGCAGUAACAACAAGAAAGUAGAGAAAGUAUGAAAAUGGGAAAACAGCUGAUGUACCGAGUUAAUGAAAGAAAUGCAUGCAUUAUGUAUAGUAUAUCUGAAUAGUUACAAUAUGGAGUAUGAUUUCUGCAAUUUUUAAGAUAUCGCCAUUUUUGCUUUCAUUUCAUUAAAUCAAUCAUCAACUCUAGUAUAUCCAAUUCAUCAAAUUUAGCACCCAGAAGAAAACCAGCUGAAACUAUUGAACGGGAGCAGAAUCCAACGCUAUUUGUUGUGAUAAAUGGAAAGUUUUGGUCGCUCGGCCUUAUUGGUCGUAUACAAAAAUUUUAUUACGCUAACGCUAUAAAACAGCGCACAUCGGCAUGAACCCAAGGGCAUUGAACCUGGAACCAAACGAAGCGCAGUUACACCUAAUGCCACUCGACUAAGGCGGCCGCCCUAGUACCAGCUCUUAAAGUGCAUAUACAUAUUAUUCAUUGGAUUUCACCAUCGUACAUCAGUAUUACGAAAAUCGACGCUCUGUGAAAAGUGUUAAUCGCGCGCUCGGGUCAACUUAUGGUGUAAAUAAUCGUCCUAUCGAACGCAUUACUCCGCAAACCAUUAGCAAAAUUGAGAGUAAUUUUACUUUAUUGGAUGAUACUCGACCGAUUAGGCCAGGAGUUUUGCCGAAGACCCGGAAGAAUCGAUUCGGCGUCGAUCUCAACAAUUUGGCCCAUCUUAUGGCACUACUUGAGCGAUUUUAUGCAAAGAUCUUGCUUUGGAAGCGUAUAAAAUAUAGCUAGUCCAAGAUUUGAAGCCAAGCGAUCAUCCAAAGCGUCAUAACUUCAGCCAUUGGGCUCUUUUCCAUUCCAAACAAAACAACCGUUCUGAGCGGCCUAUGGGCUGGAGGAAUCAUUGGCUCAUAUUUUUUCAAAGAUGAGGCUGGCGCUAAUGUAAUAGUGAAUAGCGAUAACUAUAACAACAUUUGAUUCCAGCAAACUUGACAUAUAGCCCGUGAAACAAUGGAUUUAUUGCGUUGUGGAUAAACCAACUUCGGUUGAGGCAUUGGUAGCCAACACUACUAAAGUUAUUCUCGAGAUAAGGACCAAAGUCCUCUAGCGAGUCAUUCAAAAUUGGUGUUUACAGAUGGCCGAAUUGGGGCCCAGUUGCAGCCAACAUUCGAAAGCGAUUAUCUACCCAAAAAAAUAAAG